GUUGCCUCUGUGAAGUUAGCUGUUUAUGUCAUGUGCUUAUGAGUACAAGUAAAUGAAAAACAUUAAAAAAUGGUGAAACAUUGUAUUGUGCGUGGAUGUAAAAGAGAUUUAGCAUCUGAUCGCUAAAAUAGAAUGAAUUACUGAAAAACAAUUUGCGUCAAUCAUCUUUAUUCAAAGUACCAAACUACCAAAGGUAAUAAUAUCUUCAUACGUUAUUGAUUCAUAGCUGUACAUUGGAAUACUGAAUAUGUAAAAUUAUUAUUUGCUUAGUUAAUCAUGGUUUUUU